AUGCCUCAGGGAUGAGCCGCAGAGAGUGUGACCAGGCCCAGCUGACACAUCUCAGAGCACAUGUGGGUCUGCCUCCCACAGGCCCAGCCGGCCCCCCAACACCAGCCAAGUCUCAGCCCGUCAUCGUCCCCCGGGGGUGGUGCUGGGCCUUGUGGGGCAGAAGGAAAGAGACAGCAUUCCUUCCAGGCAUUUUAAGCAGAAAGGAUCCAACACAGGGAAUUGAACACUCACAACAUUGCUAGAAGGGCUGGAGAGGCACCAGCACCACACAGCAGAACUGGACCUUCAGGAGAGCUGCCAGCCACUCAGGAUGGUGGGGAAUCAGGAGGCCACAGAGGAGCUGUAGACUUUGAGAACGUAUCACAGCACCAUCCAGCCAUCUGGAGAUGAGGAAGCCACCACCACCACCCCUACCUCUAGACUCCCCAAGAGUGGUAACCGGACGCCAAGGUUGCUGCAAGAAAAUCCAUCCCAUGACCAUGCUCACCAGCAGAAAGAGAGCCCAGGAAAAAACAAGGCGGCCCCCACUUCCUGACUCUCACAGGAAGGCAUCUGCCUGGCGGGACCUGCAGAGCGUUCAGAGCCCCUGCUGCAAAGAAGGCUGGGGAAUGCGGCGUGUAGCCUUCCAGUCUCUGCAGCCUCUUGCUAGAAAGAGAUAUUAAUAGGAAUGGAUGCUGAGGAUCAGAUGACCCUGAACAUGAGGUCUUAGGAUUCCCUAUCUCAGCCCCAACACCCUGUGCGAAUGGAAACCUCUGCUUACUUGUCUGUGUUCCCUGAUGGACUGCGGACACUUCAAAAGGCCAGGAUGAUGCCUUGGAUAUCUCGGGCUCAGCAGCAUCUUGCAUAGGCCCAGUGCAAGACAACAGUAGUCAUGCAAGAAGAAAAAGAAGAACUGACAUUUAUUGAGCAUUUACUAUGCACUGAGCACUGGGCUACAUGUUUUACAUACCUGUUGACAUAUUCACAACCCAAUAGGGUAGGCAUUAUUGCUGUCCCUAUUUAUACAUGAAGAAGAGAAGGUCUAUAGAGGUGAAGUAAGUUUCCCAAGGUCACCCAGCCAGUACAUAUCAGAGAUGAGAUUAAAAAUGCAAUCUGUCUGACUUCAAGCUCCAAACACUUGCCACUUAUGAGAGGCACCUUUAUCUUCUCCCAGGCAUCCAGAAAGGUCACAGCAAUGUUGUGCAAUGAAUGAAUGAAUACAUAAGUGUCUUCUCCUUUAGGAAACUACCUGUCCCCAUCUCAGCUGCCUUCCCUCCACUGGGCCUGGGUUCCUCUCCAAGAUCAGGGCUCAGAGAGUAAAAAUAAUACAUAAGACUGCACUGGGAUUCCUCACCUUGGGUCUGUAGGUGGCUCUUAGGCUCCAUGACCACCACUCCCAUAAAGUUGCUAACAUUUUGUGUCUAUAUGCAAUUUUCUGGAGAUUUGACUCAAAGUUUUCACUAAGCUUUCAAACUUCAAAAACUUGAUACUGCUGCAUCAGGGAGGAACACAGGAAUUUUCCUGCCUCCUGACCUCAGUUCCGAUCUUAUGACAUAGCAUGCAUUCACCUGUAUAUCCAUCCAACUUACCUAUCCAUCCAUUCAUUCUCUCAUCCACCAUCCAUGUACUCCUCCAUCCUAUUUCCCCAUCCACUCAUCCACCCAUUCAUCUAUUCAUCCACCAAUCAAUCUAACCAUCCAUCCAUCUUUCCAUCCAUCCAUCCACCUAUCCAUCCAUCUAUUCUCUUAUCCACCCUCCUACCCACCAAUCUAUUCAUUUAUCUACCCAUCCAUUCGCCUAUCCGUCCACCCACUCAUCCAUCCAUCUAUCCACCUACCCAUCCAUCUAUCCACCUACCCAUCCAUCUAUUCUAUUAUCCACCCUCCCACCCACCAAUCCAUUCAUUUUUCUACCUAUCCAUUCUCCUAUCCAUCCAUCCAUCCAUCCAUCCUACCCAUCCAUCUAUUCUAUUAUCCACCCUCCUACCCACCAAUCCAUUCAUUUAUCUACCUAUCCAUUCUCCUAUCCACCCACCCACCCAUCCAUUCAUCUAUCCAUUUACCCAUUCUUCUGUCCACUCACUCAUCCAUCCACCCACUCUUUCAUCUAUCCAUCCAACCAUUUGCCCAUCCAUACACCCACCCAUUCACUCAUGGAAUCACCAAUCCAUCUACCCAUUUAUCCCUUUAUCUGUUUAUUCAUCUAGCCAUCUAUUAAGUCAUCCAUCACUUUAUGUAUUAAUUCAUUCAUUUAAUUAUAUAUUUAUCUAUUCAUUCAUCCAUCAGUAAUUCACAGUAUUCAACAAUGAAAUCACCCGCUCCAUCCAUCACACAAUUUAAAAUCCAGCACUUGUUUAUUUAUUCAACCAUCCAUCAUCCAUCUCUCCAUUUAUCCACUAAUUUCUUCAUUCAUGUGUUCACUCAUCCAUUAAUUCAAUUGUUAAUUAUCUCAUUCAUUGAUUCAUCUAUUCUUUCAUUGAUCUAUUUCUUCAUCCAUUUUAUCCAUUCAUAAACAGUUCCCUUAUCUCCACACAUGUACCCAGCCAUUAAAUUAUCCAUUUGACUAUCCACCCAUCCAUCAAGUCAUCACUCAUCUUUUCACCCAUUAAAUGCUCCAUCCACCCAUUCUGUUCUCUAUACCAGAACCAAGAAGUGAAUCACGGCUGGCCCUGCCCUUGAGAAGCUCACAAUCAAGUGAUGGAAACAGACAGCUACAACCCAAGAUGGAAAAUAUUCAGAAGUCAAAGGGAGCUCCAGGCAGGUGCCUUCACAGAAGGGGACUCAGGUCCUUCUAGGGAUUCAGAGAAGGCUCCUUGGAGGAAGCAGCAUCCAAACAGGACUCAUGAAGUCAGAAAAACAGUGAACAAACUCCCUUAGAUAUCCCAGAGGGUAACUCACAGGACCUAACCACCUAGAUGCUCAUUGAGCUCUUUGGAGCAUCCAAGACUGAGAACACCUGUGGCAAAUGUUCACCCAGGAAUUCCCAAACCCAAUGGCUAAUGGAACACUUUCCCCCUUGUCACUCCUAUUAGUACCCCCAGAGACUCUGUGUCCCUCAGAUCUGUGUCCUCAAAAUGGAUAAAUGAUAAAAUAGAUUUGGGAAAUGCUAGUCUGGUCCAAACUUCUUGUUUCCACAAAGAAGAAAACAAAGUUCCACAAAACAUCUCUGACCUCAAAAAUUGUGUUCAUCUGUAGAUAAGAUGCAAUGCACAAUAUAUGCCCAAAGACUCC
rnacentral:lncRNA from 1 species